ACACCCACUGAGAUAGCCAUUACAGGACCCAUCGAUUAUACUUACAUCCUAUUUUAUUAGUCUUGUCAUGCAUAUGAACGAGAUGUAUUUGGAUCAAAUAUAUUCAUCUGUACAAGAAAAACAUUGCUCAGGUAAUUUUUCUCUUUAGGGUUCGUAGAGGAGAGGGAGGGCUCGAUAGGAGACGCCGAAGUUGACGGAGUGUAAGGUUCUUGUUGCCUUCAUCUUCUUCCGCGUCCGGAUCGGACUCUAGGGUUUCGUCCUCGUCGGUGCCUUGGACGAGAGAAGAGAGCAGGGAAGGGAGAGGAGGAGAGAAAGAGAGGGAGAGACGGAAGGAGACGGAGUUUCUUGUUGCCUUCCUCUUCUUCCUUGGUGCCUAGGACGAGGAAUCUUCUAGUGGAGUAUAUUGUACUAUGGACUGGAUGAUCGCAAAAAGAUGAUGAUUAUACUAUACAUUCUAUAGUUAACAAACAUUUACCAGACAUCAUCUCCACUUAACAGUUAGGUACAUGUGAUAGGAAUUCAUUCUACAUAAUGCCACUAUGAAAAAGAGAGAAUCUUCACCUCCCUCAGGUGGCUUGCUAGAGAAGUCUGUAGCUACAUUUACUCAGAUGGUGGAAUACUACGAAGGUUCUGGUUGUCAUAGGGGGGGGAUUCUUCAAAGUUUUGGCGAACAGGUGUCAACAUAUUUAUGUCAGAAAUCAUGUGAUUCAUGUAAACAACCAAUCAUAGUUGUACAACACCUAAAGGAUCUUGAGGGAAAAACUUAUUCGCAGAAGGACAAGUUCUUUCCCAUUUUGACUAAAAGCUCAACCUACAUUCCUUUAGAAGGUCAACAUACUGAAUUUUGGAAUUGAGAAGAUGACAGUUUCUUCGAGGAAGCAAUACCAGAUUCUGGAGGUAUCCUUUAUCAAAGUACUUUAUCAUUGAUUUCUGGAGACCAAGUGGCUGAAUCCUCAGUUAAAGCAAAAUGCUGUGAUGGUUCACAGAAUAAUCCCAAGGGUAUUAUUGAACGAAUAUAUCCAUUGGGUGCAGCGAUUGGUAAACCAAAAUCUUCUACUGAGGGUAUCUCUCCUGCAAAAAUUGCACAAUCUGAGUGGAAGAGUUUGACAGAAAGUGAUAAUUCCUCCGAGUCUACUGCUAACACGAUGAGAAACUUUGAGCAGACAAUGCAAACAAGCAUCAUGUGAUGGAACAAAAACUUGAGGUGUCACAGGAAACCUUGAAUCUGAGCAAAGCAGAGCUGGCCUUUACAUCUGGUGUCACUGCUAAAAAGUUGGGUAAUUUGGUUCGAUCUUCAGAGACCUCGGAGAGAUUCUCCACCAAUGUUGUUACAAACAACUGAAGUUUCGAAGUUAGCAGUAUCCCAAAAAGUUUCAGUAAAACCAUCUUCUUGUGCUUGAUCGAAAUUCUUUAUCUCAAAUGCUUCAGGCUGAUAGUAAUGAACUUCUUUAUCCCAAAAAGUUUCAGGGAUUGAAGAGGCUGUUGAAAUUUGACCGUAAAAGCAAGGGAGAGGCAAGUGCGUGACUGGUUGGUCUAGCCCGUCAAUUAAUUAUUCAGUAGAGGAUGAUGCAGAAGAUCUAAAAGCAGCUGCUUACGAAAAGAACCUUGAUACAUCCUCAACUUCCCUCCACGAGAUGUAUUGUCCACCAUGAUGUUGAUUAAGAAAAUUUCUAUCAUUGUUUCUGCUCAUGCCGUGCUCUUGUACUUUUACAUCGAUCGUGCUAAUUCUAGUUUGGUCCUUAAAUUUAUAUUAAAAAUUGUGUUAUGCGGAGCAUAUAUGUAUUCUUGGAUUAUAUUCAUUAUCUUUAAAAAUAAGGUAUUAUUAGUGAGUGAUUA